CAGCAGCCGCGGUAAUACGUAGGGGGCGAGCGUUGUCCGGAAUGACUGGGCGUAAAGGGCGUGUAGGCGGCCGAUUAAGUCCGGAGUGAAAGUCCUGCUUUCAAGGUGGGAAUUGCUUUGGAAACUGGUUGGCUUGAGUGCGGAAGAGGUAAGUGGAAUUCCCAGUGUAGCGGUGAAAUGCGUAGAGAUUGGGAGGAACACCAGUGGCGAAGGCGACUUACUGGGCCGUAACUGACGCUGAGGCGCGAAAGCGUGGGGAGCGAACAGGAUUAGAUACCCUGGUAGUCCACGCGGUAAACGAUGAAUGCUAGGUGUAGGGGGUAUCGACCCCUCCUGUGCCGGAGUAAACACAAUAAGCAUUCCGCCUGGGGAGUACGGCCGCAAGGUUGAAACUCAAAGGAAUUGACGGGGGCCCGCACAAGCAGCGGAGCAUGUUGUUUAAUUCGAUGCAACGCGAAGAACCUUACCAGGUCUUGACAUUGAUGUAAACCGCCAGAGAUGGCGGGUGCCUUCGGGCGACAGAAAACAGGUGGUGCAUGGCC
rnacentral:rRNA from 1 species